UUGAAAGGGAAACGAUUGAAGUCAGUCGUACCAGCGGGAAAUCAACCUUUCGAGUGGUGUUUUGGAGUUUUGAAGUGUGUCAAAACCUUUGAGAUUUUAAAAUUUUCGCUCUUUUGGUGUACUUUCUCGUGGGUAGGUUAACAUCGAUUUUGAUCAUCAUAAAAAGACUGGAGGAAUGUAGCUUCGAUCUUGUAUUGAAGUGUUAUAGCCUUUGGUAAAUGCGAUGAUUAGGAUCGAGGAUUGCAACGAAUACCCUUCUGGGCUAUCCGCCUGAUCUCUGAUACGUGGCCUUGGCAUCGAAAGCUUGCUUAUGGUAUCAAGGUAUUACGGUCAAAAGGUUAGAACGGAUUACAUUCGUUAAGGAUGUUGACGUA
rnacentral:rRNA from 1 species